CACCCUACACAUUCACACACUACACCCCCACACACACACUGAACCUUUCACACACAUUGCACCACUGCUCCUAUUCCCUACUACAGCCUCAUAUCCCAGCAGACCCCAGGUAAGUUGUCAAGCUGUUCUUAAACGGUUUGACUACUUACUCUGGAGCAGUAGUGGUUAUUGUGCAUGGAUUAUUUCUUUAAAUAAUCUACAAGUGCCCC